UACGUAGGGUGCGAGCGUUAAUCGGAAUUACUGGGCGUAAAGCGUGCGCAGGCGGUUCGUUAAGUCAGAUGUGAAAGCCCCGGGCUCAACCUGGGAACUGCAUUUGAAACUGGCGGGCUUGAGUGUGGCAGAGGGGGGUGGAAUUCCGCGUGUAGCAGUGAAAUGCGUAGAGAUGCGGAGGAACACCGAUGGCGAAGGCAGCCCCCCUGGGAUAACACUGACGCUCAUGCACGAAAGCGUGGGGAGCAAACAGG
rnacentral:rRNA from 1 species